rnacentral:rRNA from 1 species
AACGAACGCCGGCGGCGUGGAUAAGACAUGCAAGUCGAACGGGAUUUUUUCCUGUAGCAAUACAGGAAAAAGUCUAGUGGCGAACGGGUGCGUAACACGUGAGCAACCUGCCGUGAAGUGGGGGAUAGCUCGCCGAAAGGCGAAUUAAUACCGCAUGAGGCCAAGGAAGACAUCUUCCUGACGCCAAAGCCGGGGCAACCUGGCGCUUCUCGAAGGGCUCGCGGCCUAUCAGCUUGUUGGUGAGGUAACGGCUCACCAAGGCUAUGACGGGUAGCUGGUCUGAGAGGACGACCAGCCACACUGGAACUGAGACACGGUCCAGACACCUACGGGUGGCAGCAGUCGAGAAUUUUUCACAAUGGGGGAAACCCUGAUGGAGCGACGCCGCGUGGAGGAUGAAGGUUUUCGGAUUGUAAACUCCUGUCAUUAGAGAACAAGGCACACGGUUUAACUGGCCGUGUGUUGAUAGUAUCUGAAGAGGAAGAGACGGCUAACUCUGUGCCAGCCGCCGCAGUAA